UUUCCCCAAUGCGCCGAUUUGAUGAUCAGCUUGCGGGCGCGUAAAAAAUACGGCUAAAGCGAGGGCAAACCCGU
rnacentral:ncRNA from 2 species